AGAGAGAGGGAUGGAGGUGGGAAGGAUGGAGGGAUGGAAAGAAGUUGGAGGGAGGGGAGGAUGGAGGGAGAAGGGAGGGGAGGACGACAGGAGGAAAGAGGAAAGACAGAGGGAGGAGGGAGGGGAGGACAGGUUUUAUUUGCCAAUUUGACAGCCGAGCAAACCGAGGCUCUAGGAGGUUGAGUGACAAGCCAAAGACUGUCCAGAUGGUGAGUGGCGGAGUCAGGACCAGGCCACAGGUCCCCUGACUCCAAUCCUGAUGGUUUUCACUCCGGUGCCUUGUCCUCCUCUACCCUGGCCCUGGCCCUGAGACACUGGGAGGUCACCUGACGCGGCAGGGCUCUCGGCAGGUGUCGGUAAGUGACAGGGAGAUGCGAGGGUCAGUCACAACCCCCACGAGCGCUGUCUCUGUUCCUGAGUAUCAAUCUGGGCACUCAGUUCCCACCCCUGAGGCUACUGGAAGUUCCCCAGUUCCUCUCUGCCUCCUUGGGGCCAGGCUAGGGCACUUGGCAAAGUCACUGUGCCAGAAAAUGUGAUGUUGGGAACACACACCUGGGUGGCUGCCAUCCCCAGCCCAGCCACAGCCUGGGUGCUAGGCCCUCUUUCAGCUCCCAGCUGAGAGCCUCAGUCUCUGAUUUUGCAGUUCACAGGAGCCAUUCAGAACGCCCUGCCUCUGAGAGGUGAGGAAAUAACACCGUGGCCUCCACUGGGGGGUGCUCAGCUUCUUCCAUUCCUGGACCCUGCAGGCUGGUGAGCUGACCUGGGGCAGCUUACAAAAUUUGGGCAACUUAUGUCUUCUGGGAAAAAUUCCAUGGUUCAGGAAACAUGGAAAUAGAGAGAAAGCGAUGAUAUGUUUUGAAUAUCUAUAAGGUGCCAGGCACGAGAAGGGGUAUUUUCCAUGUUUUUUCUCAUAUAACUUCACAACCCCAGGGUUGAUUCUAUGAUGCUCCUAACUUAACAAUGAAGGAAAAAUUGCUCUCUGAACAACAAAGUUCAGAGAGGUUAGGCAAUUUGUCUGAAGACACACAGCUGACAAGUGGGAGUCUGGACUCAAACCCGGGGCCAUGUGGCUUCAAUGCUGACCGUCUGAUGCUGCUGCUUCCAUGUGGACUCAUGGUGGGGAGGAAAGGGGGAGCUGGAAUGAAGAUCCAGCCCCUUCCUGUGUCCCUGGGCCCAGGAGGUGACAGAUGCUAGUGGCAGAAAUGGGGUGAUAGCGGUGGAAGGAGGAGAGGCAGUUAAACAGCAUUUCCCGACACCUCCACCUCUGUGGGCUUGCCAUGGUAGCAGGCAGGCCGUGUUGGAUGUGGUGACGUGGAGAGCUUGCUCUGGGUCUACAGUCCUCAGAGGCUCACACCCAGGAGCCUCGAAGAAUGCAGACACCAGGGACCACUGAUUCCACCCAGAGCUGUUUCCCAGGAGACCAAGCCCAUGCACCCGCUGGAGAGAGCAUCCUUGUUGAGGGGAGGCUGUCAUGGAGGGCAGUGCCGCUUCUCUGAGACUGUAUGCAGGUUAACCGCGAUGGAGGCCCGAGGCACAGACACCACGGGAGGGAGUUUCCAUCGCUGUUCUGCACCUAUUGCUGCCGCACGCUACGGUGGCUGUGUGUUGCCCAACCUUUGCCCAGCUGGAGAAGGAGGAGCGCUACUGGUUCCAGUGCGGGGAGGCCAGGUAUGCUGCUAAACACCUACAGCACAGAGGACAGCUCCUGUGACAGAGGAUCCGGCCCCAGUGUCAGCAGUGCUACAGGUGAGAAACCCUGCCCUGCUCCGAGGGGCAGCCGAUGCUGAACCCAUAACCCCUGGUGCUCCUGAGUUAUGCUCUAUGGAACUGUCCAGCACUACUUUAGGCUGUGGGGUGUCAGGCAGUAGUGUCAGAAUCUGGCACCCCCAUGGGCAUACCUUUAGCUUUCUUUCCCACAACUGUUCCUUCUUCUGUCUUUCCCUACUUGGCCAUGGUGCUGUCGCCUGGCCGGCUGCUGUGGCCCCAAAUCUGGGAGGUCACCCUUCAUUCCUCAUCCCCUUCUCCGGGCCAUCCCUCCACUUCUCCCAUCUCUGCUGCUGCCACGUAGCCCCAGGUCUCCAGUCUGCCACAAUGUCCAGAUGGGUCUCCUGGUAGCCUCCCCUGCCUCCUGAUAUCUCCAUCUCCAAAUGCAGUCAGAAGGUCUGCUAAAAACAUAAACCAGAUCACCGUACUUCCUUGCCCGAAGUUCUGCAAUAGCACCGAUCUCAUGUGAAAUAAAGCAGGCUUCUGACCCUGACCUCAGAGCCUCCCCAGCCCAACCCCUGACCUCUUCCUUGCUCCCUCUCCUCCAUCCUCACCAGGUUCCCUCCUGCUCGGGGCCUCGGCUCGCCCUUUCCUCCUCCUAGAAGGUUUUCCCUCCAGGUCCUUUUUCUGGUUCAGGUUUUGGCUUAAACAUGACCUUCCCUGACAAUUUCCUGUCCCCUUGACCAGCCAACAGCGGCCCCCUCCAGCCGCUCCCCACACGCCCCCUGCUCUGUUUUCACCGUAACAUAAAUCUGCACCUAGAAGUGCCAACUGCCUCAUACAUAGGAGUAUCAAUUCCAGGACAGCAGGGACCUGUCUGUCCUUUCUGCAGCUGUGACCCUGAGCCCUGCAUGUCUAAUACAGACCAGGUGUUCAGUGAGCCUGUGCUGGAAGAAUGAAUGAGGGAACAGCAGCACACCCAGCAGGCGGGUGACUUGUAGCCCGUGUGUGUGUCUCAGCAGCAAAAGGGUCAAAAGUCACUGAACUAAGUAAGCUCCACAAGGCUCUUCUGGCUGGAAACCCCUCCUCAAGGCUCUUCUGGCUGGAAACCCCUCCUCAAGGCUCUUCUGGCUGGAAACCCCUCCUCCAGCAAGGACCCUCCAUGAGGCCACACCGACCCACCGUCAGCGUGGAAGCUAUGGGCAGAGGCUUUCCGGGGUUUGUAUGACAGAGAGUGAGAGGUGGGAGGAGUGUUCCAGAACAGUCAGGCCCCAUUUUCAGAUGAGGAGACAGAGGCCCACCAGGCCCCCUCCCCUGCACAUUGCUGUUCCAGUUUAGCUGUGGCUUCCUCGCCUCUGACACUCAGGGUCUGGUGACCUGAGGCCCCUUCCUACUCGGCACUUCUGUCACUAUGUCCUGGAAAUCCUCAGAGUCUGGGCUGUUGGUGGAGACUGACACAGGGGAUUUAUUUUAAAGAUCUGCUGAUUUUCCUACUGAGACUUUUUGAAGGGCCUCUUCCUGAAUGAUUGGAGAGUAAGCACCAGCUGUGAAGCAGACACAGGGCGAGAACAUGUCUGUGAUGGACACAUGUCUGUGUGCCCCCAAAAUACAUAUGAUGAAGACAUAAUCCUCUGUGUAAACAAUGCUAUUUGGAGACAGGGCCUCUGGGAAGUGAUUAGGUUUAGAUGAGGUUGUGAGGGUCAUGAUCAGACCAAUGCCCUUGUAAGAAAGGACCAAAAAACUGGUGCCCUCUCUCUCCACCAUGUGAGCAUUUUAAUAGAAUGAUCUGGCCCCAAUGUCAGCAGUGCAAAGGCUGAGAAACCCUGCCCUGGUGUGAGGGGCAGCUGAUGCUACACCCAUAACCCUUGGUGCUCCUGAGUUAUGCCCUGUGGAACUUGCAUGAAGAAGCCGGCCAUCUGCAAGCCAGGAAGAGGGACCUCACCAGGAACUGAGUCCAGCGACACCUUAAUCUUGGACUUCCCAGCCUCCAGAACUAUGAGAAGUUCACAUCUGUGAUCUAAACCACCCAGUCUAUCAUAUUUUAUGACGUCAGCCCAAGCUGACUCCAACAACCCCCUUACCUGCCCCUUCCAAAUCUGCAUGGUUCCAAUAUAAAGGAUUUCCCCUGACUAGUGGACAGAAGAGCUCCUAUGUUCCACCUUGGCCGUGAUCCGGGGAGUGAGAUGCAAUACUCAGGAGCUGUGCACGUCUUAAGCCUCAUUUUCUACAACUAUAAAAGGCA
rnacentral:lncRNA from 1 species